GCGCCCAUAGCUCAACUGGAUAGAGCAACAGACUACGAAUCUGUAGGCUGGGGGUUCAAAUCCCUCUGGGCGCG
rnacentral:tRNA from 1 species